rnacentral:pre_miRNA from 1 species
UAUGUACUCCCUCCGUCCGGAAAUACUUGUUGGAGAAAUGAAUAAAAAUGGAUGUAUCUAGAACUAAAAUACAUCUAGAUACAUCCAUUUCUCCGACAAGUAUUUCCGGCCGGAGGGAGUAGAUC